rfam:Enterococcus ratti strain DSM 15687 Scaffold1, whole genome shotgun sequence.
GGUUCCUUUAAGUUUAGUCCCGUGAGGCUAAGAAGGGUGUGAGCAAAAGACAAGUGGUGCGCCUAUUGGAAGUUGCUCAAGUGACGUAGUAUAACUAUCAGUGUACACUCAGUCGUGACAUUCCUCCUGUCCUCUUAGGGCAGGAGUUUUUUUGU